rnacentral:rRNA from 1 species
GGAUCAAUAUUUCGGUCAUGCCGUUGGUAUGCACUGUUAUCAUUGAUUUCUCACCUUCUAAAGAACCGUAAUGCCAUUAAUUUGGUGUUACGUGGAAUUAGGACUGUUACCUUGAAAAUUAGAGUGUUUAAAGCAGGCUCACGCUUGAAUACAUUAGCAUGGAAUAAUGAAAUAGGACAUCCGAUUCUAUUUUGUUGGUUUCUAGGAUCGAUGUAAUG